rnacentral:rRNA from 1 species
GACGAACCGUGCGAACGUUGUUCGGAAUCACUGGGCUUAAAGGGCGCGUAGGCGGCCGACCAAGUCAGGGGUGAAAUCCCGCAGCUUAACUGCGGAAGUGCCUUUGAUACUGGUUGGCUCGAGGGAGAUAGGGGUCUGUGGAACGGGUGGUGGAGCGGUGAAAUGCGUUGAUAUCACUCGGAACGCCGGUGGCGAAAGCGACGGACUGGAUCUCUACUGACGCUGAGGCGCGAAAGCCAGGGGAGCAAACGGG